rnacentral:rRNA from 1 species
AACGAACGCUGGCGGCAUGCCUAACACAUGCAAGUCGAACGAACCCUUCGGGGUUAGUGGCGCACGGGUGCGUAACACGUGGGAAUCUGCCCUUUGCUUCGGAAUAACAGUUAGAAAUGACUGCUAAUACCGGAUGAUGUCGAAAGACCAAAGAUUUAUCGGCAAAGGAUGAGCCCGCGUAGGAUUAGCUUGUUGGUGGGGUAAUGGCCUACCAAGGCGACGAUCCUUAGCUGGUCUGAGAGGAUGAUCAGCCACACUGGGACUGAGACACGGCCCAGACUCCUACGGGAGGCAGCAGUGGGGAAUAUUGGACAAUGGGCGAAAGCCUGAUCCAGCAAUGCCGCGUGAGUGAUGAAGGCCUUAGGGUUGUAAAGCUCUUUUACCAGGGAUGAUAAUGACAGUACCUGGAGAAUAAGCUCCGGCUAACUCCGUGCCAGCCGCCGCAGUAACAC